rnacentral:rRNA from 1 species
UACGUAGGGUGCGAGCGUUAAUCGGAAUUACUGGGCGUAAAGCGUGCGCAGGCGGUGAUGUAAGACAGGUGUGAAAUCCCGGGCUUAACCUGGGAACUGCAUUUGUGACUGCAUCGCUGGAGUGCGGCAGAGGGGAUGGAAUUCCGCGUGUAGCAGUGAAAUGCGUAGAUAUGCGGAGGAACACCGAUGGCGAAGGCAAUCCCCUGGGCCUGCACUGACGCUCAUGCACGAAAGCGUGGGGAGCAAACAGG